rnacentral:lncRNA from 1 species
UGGAUAUUUGUCUGCAUUUAAGAGAGUUAACAGAAAGGAUGUUUCCUGUAAUUUAUUGCCUACUUCUGCCUUAAUUGGGUUAUAAUUAUAGAAUGAAAAUUGGAUUAAAUUUCUGUAAGCAUGACAAGUACUGAAUGUACAGCAGGUAUUCCCCUAGCAAACAAAAUGGCUUAGGCACCAGGAAUAUGUACAACAUGUGUUCCUUUGUCCUCAAGAAGUACAGUCCAACUCAGGCCAGGAAGAGAAAGGUAGGCAGUGUAGCACAGUGGUUAAGAGCACAGACUCUGAGCCAGACUACCUGAAUUUGAAUUCUUUAACACUCUUUACCACAAAACAGUUCAUUUUAGGGAAACAGAUAAAAGAAUUAGUUUUUAGAAGCAUAUACAUCUUGUAAUAAGCAAAAUAAACUUCAAUAUGGGUCUGAAAUUUAUUUUGCUUAUUAUAUUUAAGCAAAAACUAGGCCAUGUACUAUUUGAGGAAGCAGACUUAUUUGCCUUUUUGCAUAUUUUAUACCAUAUAUUAAAACCAGAGUCCAUUUGUAAACUAGUCUACAAACAACUUCAGAGUUUAGAAUUUGUCCAAAAUAUUUUUGUUUGCCUUGACAAUAAUGAAUCAUUAUCCAUUAAUUUAUUUAAAUCUAUCUUUUAAUUUAUCAACUUAAUGUUUGUCUUAUGGAAUAGUACACAACAUGAUUAAAUGAGAUAUUCCACCAAAAGAAGUUUUCAGAUCACUGAAGUUUACCCUACCAGACCCCCAAUUUUUUUUGUUUUGUUUUGUUUUCUGUUUUUUUAAUCUUGUUUUCACUUUUGAGACAGGGUCUUACUCUGUCACCCAGGCUGGAGUGCAGUGCCUCAAACUCCUGGGCUGAAGCAAUUCUCCUGCCUCAGCCUCCUGACUAGCUGGCACCAUAGGUGUGUGCCACCUUGCCCGGCUCACUUUUUUAAUUUUUCAUAGAGCUGAGGUCUCCCUAUGUUGUCCAGGCUGGUCUCAAACUCCUGGCCUCAAGCAGUCCUCCCACCUCAGCCUCCCGAAGUGAUGAGAUUAGGCAUGAGCCACUGCACCUGUCCGGUUUUUAAUCUCAACCUUUUUUAAAAAAAAAGUCCAUACCUUAAUAAACAGUAUAUCAAAUAUGACUUAAUCUUGUAGAAUCAAGAUUUUACAGGUAGCCCUGUAGCACUUAGCCCACUUUUCAGAGAAGAUUAAUGACUUGUCAUUGGUGUCAUCUUGUGACGUAAUGGCAGAUCAAGGACUUGAACACAAUUCUACUAACUCUUAGUAGAGCCGACUUUCCAAUGUACAGUAAUGCCUCAGGUUUUUCAUUUCGUGUCUUAUUUUACUGUACAACUGAUCCAGAAGAGAGAGCAAUGUGUGACAUGGAAUAAUCAGAAUGACUUGGAAGUAUUGAGAAAUGGCAAGUUUGUCAAAUGCAUGAGACUUGUCCUAAUCCAGUUAGGCAGUUCUUUGAAGCGUUUGAAGAAAGUAUUAAUUUGAGAUACCCAUAGGAACUGUUAAAAGUUUGCAGUACCGUUUGAGGUUGUAAUGAAAGGUUCAACUAUUCUGCGUUCCUAAUUGUCUUCGGUUUUGUGCUUUGCUUCUAGCUUUCAGUUCUUGCUGCCUAUUUCCACCGGCUGGUCUUAUAGUCAGUCCCCUGCUUUUAUCUAUUGUCUGCUGUUAUAUAGGACAGGCAAAACUGGGUCAACACUGUCUCUGCUGCUUACUAGUUUGUGACUUUAGGCAAGUUAACUUCUCAGAGUUUUAAUUUUAUUAUCUUAAAACUGGAGUUUAUAAUAGUUCGUACUUUAUAGCAUUGUUGUAAAGAUGAGGUCUUUUUAAAACAUAACAACUAGAACUACUCUCAAAGUUCCAAAUACAAAUGCUAUUUUCUGUUUCUAGUAAUUUUCCUGUUAACUACUCAACAUUUAGGUGACUGUUAUAGCUGCAGAAGCACAGUACGCUUAGAGCUUUAGGAAGUGUCACUAAUAAACUAUGAUAUCUCUAAUUAAAUGUCUGUAAAUUAUAAAUGUCUCUAAUAAAAAUAAUAAAGUAAAUCUUAUAACUUACAAUCUAACAAAAAAAAAAAAAAAA